rnacentral:rRNA from 1 species
AUUGAACGCUGGCGGCAUGCCUUACACAUGCAAGUCGAACGGUAGCGGGCCUUCGGGUGCCGACGAGUGGCGAACGGGUGAGUAAUAUAUCGGAACGUACCUUUCAGUGGGGGAUAACGUAGCGAAAGUUACGCUAAUACCGCAUAUUCUGUGCGCAGGAAAGCAGGGGACCUUCGGGCCUUGCGCUGAUUGAGCGGCCGAUAUCAGAUUAGCUAGUUGGUGAGGUAAAGGCUCACCAAGGCGACGAUCUGUAGCGGGUCUGAGAGGAUGAUCCGCCACACUGGAACUGAGACACGGUCCAGACUCCUACGGGAGGUAGCAGUGGGGAAUUUUGGACAAUGGGGGCAACCCUGAUCCAGCCAUGCCGCGUGAGUGAAGAAGGCCUUCGGGUUGUAAAGCUCUUUCGGCCGGGAAGAAAUCGUAUGGGCUAAUACCCUGUGCGGAUGACGGUACCGGCAUAAGAAGCACCGGCUAACUACGUGCCAGCCGCCGCCGUAAUAC